AUUGAACGCUGGCGGCAGGCCUAACACAUGCAAGUCGAACGAGUGGCGGACGGGUGAGUAAUGUCUGGGAAACUGCCCGAUGGAGGGGGAUAACUACUGGAAACGGUAGCUAAUACCGCAUACCAUCGGAUGUGCCCAGAUGGGAUUAGCUAGUAGGUGGGGUAACGGCUCACCAAGGCGACGAUCCCUAGCUGGUCUGAGAGGGUGACCAGCAACACUGGAACUGAGACACGGACCAGACUCCUACGGGAGGCAGCAGUGGGGAAUAUUGCGCAAUGGGCGCAAGCCUGAUACAGCCAUGCCGCGUGAAUGAAGAAGGCCUUCGGGUUGUAAAGUGCUUUCAGCGAGGAGGCGUUACUCACAGAAGAAGCACCGGCUAACUCCGUGCCAGCAGCCGCGGUAAUUC
rnacentral:rRNA from 1 species